AGGCGUGGUCAGUAUAAGCACUUGGGGUAAGUUCCUUGGAAAAGGACAGCAUGGAGGGUGAUACUCCCGUUCAUCUCUAAGUUGCUUGUGCGUACGACCCGUUUUCUUUGAGUCGCGUUGUUUGAGAAUGCAGCGCAAAGUAGGUGGUAAAUUCCAUCUAAAGCUAAAUAUUGGUGCGAGACCGAUAGCAAACAAGUACCGUGAGGGAAAGAUGAAAAGAACUUUGAAAAUAGAGUUAAAGAGUACCUGAAACUGCUGAAAGGGAACCAAAUCGUUUCCAGUGUCUAUAAUCCGUGGUAUAUUUCAUUGGCGAGUGUGUGCGUGCGUGUGCUGUUGCAGUAGCUUUUUGGCUGCGCUCAGUGUGUGUGCUGUGUGUACUUGCUGGUGCCCUGUGCUACGGUGGGACGUCAAGGUCAGUUCGUAUGCUGCGGGAAAUGGCUACUGAGGAGGUAGGGCUUACGCUUGCGUUUGUCUGUUAUAUCUUGGUGGACGAGUCGUCGCGGUUGGGACUGAGGUGCCUACA
rnacentral:rRNA from 1 species